rnacentral:miRNA from 1 species
GCAGACACAUUGCAGCCAAUCAGCAGCAGACCCUCCCUCCCAGACCCUCCCACCUCCUGGACAGCAUCCAUUUUACAUUCAUUAUGAAGCUGCAUUCUUAGUGAGCUGUCCAGGAGGUGGGAGGGUCUGGGAGGGAGGGUCUGCUGCUGAUUGGCUGGAAUGUGUCU